rnacentral:tRNA from 1 species
GCGCCCGUAGCUCAGUCGGAUAGAGCAUCGGAUUCCUAAUCCGGAGGCCACAGGUUCGAAUCCUGUCGGGCGCGCCA